UUAAGCGACUAAGCGUACACGGUGGAUGCCCUGGCAGUCAGAGGCGAUGAAGGACGUGCUAAUCUGCGAUAAGCGUCGGUAAGGUGAUAUGAACCGUUAUAACCGGCGAUUUCCGAAUGGGGAAACCCAGUGUGUUUCGACACACUAUCAUUAACUGAAUCCAUAGGUUAAUGAGGCGAACCGGGGGAACUGAAACAUCUAAGUACCCCGAGGAAAAGAAAUCAACCGAGAUUCCCCCAGUAGCGGCGAGCGAACGGGGAGGAGCCCAGAGCCUGAAUCAGUGUGUGUAUUAGUGGAAGCGUCUGGAAAGGCGCGCGAUACAGGGUGACAGCCCCGUACACAAAAAUGCACAUGCUGUGAGCUCGAUGAGUAGGGCGGGACACGUGGUAUCCUGUCUGAAUAUGGGGGGACCAUCCUCCAAGGCUAAAUACUCCUGACUGACCGAUAGUGAACCAGUACCGUGAGGGAAAGGCGAAAAGAACCCCGGCGAGGGGAGUGAAAAAGAACCUGAAACCGUGUACGUACAAGCAGUGGGAGCACGCUUAGGCGUGUGACUGCGUACCUUUUGUAUAAUGGGUCAGCGACUUAUAUUCUGUAGCAAGGUUAACCGAAUAGGGGAGCCGAAGGGAAACCGAGUCUUAACUGGGCGUUAAGUUGCAGGGUAUAGACCCGAAACCCGGUGAUCUAGCCAUGGGCAGGUUGAAGGUUGGGUAACACUAACUGGAGGACCGAACCGACUAAUGUUGAAAAAUUAGCGGAUGACUUGUGGCUGGGGGUGAAAGGCCAAUCAAACCGGGAGAUAGCUGGUUCUCCCCGAAAGCUAUUUAGGUAGCGCCUCGUGAAUUCAUCUCCGGGGGUAGAGCACUGUUUCGGCAAGGGGGUCAUCCCGACUUACCAACCCGAUGCAAACUGCGAAUACCGGAGAAUGUUAUCACGGGAGACACACGGCGGGUGCUAACGUCCGUCGUGAAGAGGGAAACAACCCAGACCGCCAGCUAAGGUCCCAAAGUCAUGGUUAAGUGGGAAACGAUGUGGGAAGGCCCAGACAGCCAGGAUGUUGGCUUAGAAGCAGCCAUCAUUUAAAGAAAGCGUAAUAGCUCACUGGUCGAGUCGGCCUGCGCGGAAGAUGUAACGGGGCUAAACCAUGCACCGAAGCUGCGGCAGCGACACUAUGUGUUGUUGGGUAGGGGAGCGUUCUGUAAGCCUGUGAAGGUGUGCUGUGAGGCAUGCUGGAGGUAUCAGAAGUGCGAAUGCUGACAUAAGUAACGAUAAAGCGGGUGAAAAGCCCGCUCGCCGGAAGACCAAGGGUUCCUGUCCAACGUUAAUCGGGGCAGGGUGAGUCGACCCCUAAGGCGAGGCCGAAAGGCGUAGUCGAUGGGAAACAGGUUAAUAUUCCUGUACUUGGUGUUACUGCGAAGGGGGGACGGAGAAGGCUAUGUUGGCCGGGCGACGGUUGUCCCGGUUUAAGCGUGUAGGCUGGUUUUCCAGGCAAAUCCGGAAAAUCAAGGCUGAGGCGUGAUGACGAGGCACUACGGUGCUGAAGCAACAAAUGCCCUGCUUCCAGGAAAAGCCUCUAAGCAUCAGGUAACAUCAAAUCGUACCCCAAACCGACACAGGUGGUCAGGUAGAGAAUACCAAGGCGCUUGAGAGAACUCGGGUGAAGGAACUAGGCAAAAUGGUGCCGUAACUUCGGGAGAAGGCACGCUGAUAUGUAGGUGAAGUCCCUCGCGGAUGGAGCUGAAAUCAGUCGAAGAUACCAGCUGGCUGCAACUGUUUAUUAAAAACACAGCACUGUGCAAACACGAAAGUGGACGUAUACGGUGUGACGCCUGCCCGGUGCCGGAAGGUUAAUUGAUGGGGUUAGCGCAAGCGAAGCUCUUGAUCGAAGCCCCGGUAAACGGCGGCCGUAACUAUAACGGUCCUAAGGUAGCGAAAUUCCUUGUCGGGUAAGUUCCGACCUGCACGAAUGGCGUAAUGAUGGCCAGGCUGUCUCCACCCGAGACUCAGUGAAAUUGAACUCGCUGUGAAGAUGCAGUGUACCCGCGGCAAGACGGAAAGACCCCGUGAACCUUUACUAUAGCUUGACACUGAACAUUGAGCCUUGAUGUGUAGGAUAGGUGGGAGGCUUUGAAGUGUGGACGCCAGUCUGCAUGGAGCCGACCUUGAAAUACCACCCUUUAAUGUUUGAUGUUCUAACGUUGACCCGUAAUCCGGGUUGCGGACAGUGUCUGGUGGGUAGUUUGACUGGGGCGGUCUCCUCCUAAAGAGUAACGGAGGAGCACGAAGGUUGGCUAAUCCUGGUCGGACAUCAGGAGGUUAGUGCAAUGGCAUAAGCCAGCUUGACUGCGAGCGUGACGGCGCGAGCAGGUGCGAAAGCAGGUCAUAGUGAUCCGGUGGUUCUGAAUGGAAGGGCCAUCGCUCAACGGAUAAAAGGUACUCCGGGGAUAACAGGCUGAUACCGCCCAAGAGUUCAUAUCGACGGCGGUGUUUGGCACCUCGAUGUCGGCUCAUCACAUCCUGGGGCUGAAGUAGGUCCCAAGGGUAUGGCUGUUCGCCAUUUAAAGUGGUACGCGAGCUGGGUUUAGAACGUCGUGAGACAGUUCGGUCCCUAUCUGCCGUGGGCGCUGGAGAACUGAGGGGGGCUGCUCCUAGUACGAGAGGACCGGAGUGGACGCAUCACUGGUGUUCGGGUUGUCAUGCCAAUGGCACUGCCCGGUAGCUAAAUGCGGAAGAGAUAAGUGCUGAAAGCAUCUAAGCACGAAACUUGCCCCGAGAUGAGUUCUCCCUGACUCCUUGAGAGUCCUGAAGGAACGUUGAAGACGACGACGUUGAUAGGCCGGGUGUGUAAGCGCAGCGAUGCGUUGAGCUAACCGGUACUAAUGAACCGUGAGGCUUAACCUU
rnacentral:rRNA from 1 species